rnacentral:lncRNA from 1 species
AAAAUAGACAAAACCUUGGAAUUCCGACUUUUAUCACUUGGUUUGGGUCCCCCAAACGCAUGCACGAGGUUAUCAACAGAAUAAGGAAAGAUUAAUUGAUUUUCCCAAAAUUUUUGUAAGUCUAAACGCAAUGAUGGUUCUGGAACCACAUCUGUGUCGUAAGAGGAAAGAGUGGCGGCGGUCCACUUACCGGCGUAAGGAAGGAAUUUUCCGACACCUGAACCUGACGCCAUUGAUGAAGGUAUAAAGAUGGCGUAAAAGAAUGGUGAUUAGGGUUAAAUUUGGGAAUC